rnacentral:rRNA from 1 species
GACGAACGCUGGCGGCGUGCUUAACACAUGCAAGUCGAACGGUGAAGCGCCUUCCUUUUUGGUGGGUGUGGAUGAGUGGCGAACGGGUGAGUAACACGUGAGUAACCUGCCCCCUUCUUCUGGAUAACCGCAUGAAAGUGUGGCUAAUACGGGAUAUUCUGGGUCUGUCGCAUGAUGGGUCUGUGAAAGAUAUUGUUUCGGUGGGGGAUGGGCUCGCGGCCUAUCAGCUUGUUGGUGGGGUGAUGGCCUACCAAGGCGGUGACGGGUAGCCGGCCUGAGAGGGUGGACGGUCACACUGGGACUGAGACACGGCCCAGACUCCUACGGGAGGCAGCAGUGGGGAAUAUUGCACAAUGGGCGCAAGCCUGAUGCAGCGACGCCGCGUGAGGGAUGGAGGCCUUCGGGUUGUGAACCUCUUUCGCCAGUGAAGCAGGCCUGCCUCGUUUGUGGGUGGGUUGACGGUAGCUGGAUAAGAAGCGCCGGCUAACUACGUG